GCCGGGAUGGCCGAGUGGUUAUGGCGCGUGACUCAAGUUCUCGUAGGGAUUCCCUGCGUGGGUUCGAAUCCCACUCCCGGCA
rnacentral:tRNA from 1 species